AUCUUCGCAGUGUCUCCAUCAAGAUACACCCAGGGUUGGAGCUGACGUGGGCCACUGAAGUCAGGCUGGAAACUCCAGUUCAGCUCAUGGAUUCAGACUGAGACAGGAACUCUGGUCACACACAGCCAUCUAUGUACCCUACUCCCCAGUGUCACUGGCCUAACUCCUCACUAUGCUGGAUAUUGAACCACUACACAGAAAGAUCUAAUCACUAACCCAGGAACCAGCAAUUCAAGGCCCAGAUAUCAAAACAAGAUUUUCUCAGGCCUGUGAUAAUGAUUGCUACCCACAUCUAUCUUCUUACUUUGAAAUGUUAUUCCCUUCUAAGCUAAAACACAGACCAGAAAUAUAGAGUACAGAGAAAGCUUCACCUUAAAACACGGCCUGGCAAUCACUAAUGUAAGUGAUGCAAUGCACUGUCUACCUUAAUCCAGAUUAUGUGGGAGAGAAUGUAUUCAUUGUCAACGAGCUACACAAGCCUAUAAAACCCCAGGGAAAGAGUGCUUUAUAUUGCAUGAGAACUCUAGCAUGCUAUAAAGCAGAAGGCACUCCUAUGUUCAGUAGCUGAGCAUGUAAAACUAAGGAAGGGUGUGGGAAUCAGGAGAAGGCUGAGCAACAUGAAAAGAACUAAGACUUUCAUGUGUUUCUAGUUAGUAUGGAGGUAUUUUUAAGGGUCCUGUUAGAAGUCUCUGAGCAGUACUUUGUCUUCAGAAAAUGUUUGGAAACUACCCCUGAAUGAGGUCUCUUCUGGAAGUUUCAGGUCAAGUAGCUGUUAUAUACCUCCUCCUCCAGUUGAAUACCUCCCCUCCAGUUGCCAAUCUUGAUAAUUCAGAGAAGAGUUUCCAUCUGAGUCCUUUCUGCCUGUUGAGGUUUCGGAAGAUCACAGGAUCAGAAUGGCCACAGGAAAGGAUCUGGGGGUUGGAGGCUUUUCAAGCACCCAUGUAAGUAAGUGGUACCUCAGGAUGCCUGGCUGGGCAGGAACCAUCUGUCACCUCCAUUCACAUGGGGCAGCGGGCACAGCUCCAGGGCACAACUGGAGUGGUCAUUGUCUUGGGGGGCUGUUUGGCAGUUGGCACAGCCUUGAUCAGUGAAUCAGAGAUGGUGGCAACCAGCCGCGGCUGGCAUGUGGAGCCAUGGCGCAGCAAAUACAUGCUCUCGCCCUAGCUGCAGGCAGGCCAAAGGCAGAAGCCAGCGGUGUGAGUCCUGCACUUGACGUGUGAGAUCAGACAGGCCCAGGCUUAUGCAGGAUCAUAUGCUGAGCAUGAGCCAACUGC